GCAAAAAGAACUCCUCAAACAGAUGGCAUCCUUUGUUGCUGGGGACCCUAUCAAACCAAAGAGUUAAUUAAGCUCACAUUCAUCACUUUUCAAGCAAAUCAGCUACACAAUACAUUAAUUUGUUAGUUGUUUUAAGUGGAUUUGAGUGCAAGAAAAAGGGACAAAAUCUCACCAAAAUAAUGAAUUUAUUUUUGGGAUUCAAGGCAUCUCACUUAAUUGCGUUAUAGAGACUGUUCUGGGCUUCAAAGGAGGAGAAGAAGAGUGGGAGAGGGGCUGAUAAUAGUCAAAGGUCAGAUGUGGGGAGAGAGGACUUGAAAGAAUGCCUUUAAACCUGCAAAACAACAAAAAGGAGGUUAGAGGUGGAGUCGGCAAUGGCCGGCGACUACAUCCGAAACUCAAGUAAGCUAAUUGAACUUUUUAAGGUGAUGAGAGCUUGCAAGCUCUUUAAAAUAGUGGCUAGAAGUUGAAUAAAACUUUAGUCUUUUUUUGUGUGUUUUUGUAAUGAGUUUAAGAAAAAUAGAACCUUAUUGCCUUUAUAUAGUACACUCUAGGUACCCUUACCACAUGACACAUCUUUAGUGGUGAUUCUACUGUCCUUUCUAAGAUUCUCGUCCUUUUUACUUUUAUGGUGAUCUUUGGGCGAUUAGGGGCAUGCUUACGAAGCAAAGAGCACGUUAUGAUGCGUAAGUUGUUUUCUUGCACACAUGGUAUACGCUGCAAUGUAGUCCUGGAAAACUUUGCAAAAGCUAUGUCCUUUCUAAGAUUCUCAUCCUUUUACUUUUAUGGUGAUCUUUGGGCGAUUAGGAGCAUGCUUACAAAGCAAAGAGCACGUUAUGAUGCAUAAGUUGUUUUCUUGCACACAUGGUAUAUGCUGCAAUGUGGUCCUGGAAAACUUUGCAAAAGCUAUUUGGGCAGUUGUAGGUGUGACAGUUGAGUAUCAUUGUACUUGGCGUGCCGCUUUUUGCAGGUGUGAUGGCCAACAGUCCCCUCUUUUCCAACAAAAUAUUAUUUAUUUGAUUUUACCAAAUCAAUAUUCUCUUUAGACGAUGGAAAUAGCACGUAUGGUGAAUAUUUUUAGAUAUUUUCUUUAAUACUAUAAUUUUGUCAUGGCG
rnacentral:lncRNA from 1 species